AUAUUUUAAUUGAAAAAUCAGAUCAGCUAUGCAACUCUGCUUCUGGGAGUUGAAUGGAUAACAGCUGGGUGAUAGAAUACUUGGGCCAUGCAUCUCUCACCAUCCCUUAGGCAGUCCAGAUUUAUUUACAUGGUGAUCAUGAGGUUCCAAGAAAGCAAAUAGAGACCUCUCGGAGCCUAGCUCAGACACAGUAAACUUUUUUUUGGUUGUUUGCUACAUUCCAUAGGUCAAAGCAAGUCACAAGUCUAGCCCAGAUUCAAGUAUUGAGGAAAUAGACUUCACCCCGUGAUGGAGAAUACUGCAAAAAUCACACUACAAAAAUGUUGGAUAUAGAGAGGAAAAAAAUAAUGUGGCCAUUUUUCUAACGUACCGCAAUGAGUAUGCAUAAGAGCCAGAGUUUGCUGUGGUAAUUGCCUUGAAGUGUUCUGAUUGGAUUUGUACCUCUUCUCCCACAGAAGAUGCCAUGUUGUAGCAUAGGAGCCAAAUGCCAGGCUUAUUGGGCAGAUUCCAUGUGGAGAGCAGCCGUGGCCUUGAGGCUCUGUGCGGUGGUGAUACUGACUGUAGUCCCUGGCAGUUGCAGCAGGCAGGAAGCAGAGAGAGAAAUGUGAUGAGGCAGCUCUGGAGAGGAGGAGCCACAGGUGCACCCCUGCAUUGGGAAGAAGCCAUCAACAACUGCAGCAAAGAGACUAGAUAUAACCACACACUCCUGGGUUUGCUGGGGAAUUUAAGAAAAAUGCAGUCAGAAAUCAAAGGUGGAGUUCUAGGAGUCCUCCUGGAAAGAAGCUAGGGAGAGAAAUUCUGAUUGGCAUUUUUUUCCUUUAUAGCUCCACUUUUGUCCUGCUAAAAGCAGGAAUCAGAUCAAAUGUUAAGCAGAUGACAUUUGACAGUCGCAACGCAAUACUUUUUCUCAUUAUCACAUAACAUUCCCCUACUACACCAUUUAAAUCUCACUCUCACCCAGAAUAAUCACAGAUGAGUCAUGAGAAGUGAUAAAUAAAAAAUACGAUUUUUUAAGUCAAAUGUAAGUAUCAAACUAUAAAGACCCAGCAUGUAUAAAAUUUAAUUUUGCAAUUAAACUCCCAACAAUGUUUAUCUCAUACCACCCAUUAUGUGCACAGAUCUCAUUGUGAUGCUCAGAAAUUAAAGCAUGUAAGAUGUGUGGUUCAA